CAGUAGCCGCGGGAAAACGAGGGGUGCAAGCGUUAUUCGGAUUGAUUGGGUGUAAAGGGUGUGCAGACGGCUUAUUAAGUCACUUGUUAAAUUCUUCGGCCUAACUGAAGGUCUGCAAGUGAUACUGAUGAGCUAGAGGGUGGAAGAGAGAAGUGGAAUUCUCGGAGUAGCGGUAAAAUGCGUAGAUCUCGAGAGGAACACCAAUGGCGAAGGCAGCUUCUUGGUCCAUUCCUGACGUUCAUACACGAAAGCGUGGGGAGCGAACAGGAUUAGAUACCCCUGUAGUCCCUGUCUCUUAUAC
rnacentral:rRNA from 1 species